GACAGGAAGGCCCAGAGCAGAAGAAAGGAGACCGGCAGGCGCUGCCCAGGGGAGGCCCAGAGCUGCUCACAGGGAAAGGGAGGGUGGCGGUUCCCAGAAUGGCGGCCUCCAGAGAGCCCCUCGAGACUCCAAGGAGAUUAAACUCACUUAACUGGCUGACCACCAUCCGGCUUCCCAGAUCCUGAGCCUGUGGGCUCCCAAUUCCUCACCCGAAAACCAUGCCAAUGAGACCUUCACCGGGGACCGUGAGGAGUGACCGACCCCAGGAGGAGCCAGUGCUGCUGAACCAGAGCCGGACGCUGGCCUACGGCGCACAGACCACCAGCAGGCAGCACGCUCCUCAGGCGCUAGAGGGCAACCCACCCUGGACACGGGAGGGCUCUUCGCCCACACCCUGGGCCUGAGCCACCUCGCACCCACCAGAGCUCUGAGAGCCUUCGUGAUCCUGCAAAAUUAUGACCCACGUGUCAACAACGUGGACUGGCUUUCUCCCACAGCUCCUGCGUCAUCACUCCCUGCCCAAGAAGCCCAAGGCGGGUCACACGUCCCCCGGCUCCCCACCCUUCGCUCACCCUGCAAGACCCCACUUCAGAGGGAAGCACACAACACAGAGGCCAAGCAGACUGCCCGGCAGCCCUGGCCAGUUCUCCACCACGUCCACCAGCAGCUGUGCCCACACAGCAAAGGCCCCACAAAACCCCACAGGACAUGGCUCCAGACCGCUGUACAGCUGAGUGUGGAAGCCACCCACACGCCAGGAGGGGCGCACCCAGCUCUUCGGGGAUGCAAGCUCCUGACUCGCGACCCUGCCAGACCCUGCCAGACCCGACCCUGUUAGGAUCUCUGUGCAGCUGCUUAUCUGUAUCCCUUAGAACAACCGGUAAAUACAAUGUUUCCC
rnacentral:lncRNA from 1 species